GACGGAGGGAGCAAGCGUUGUCCGGAUUUACUGGGCGUAAAGCGCGCGUAGGCGGCCCGUUAAGUCGGCUGUGAAAUCGCUGGGCCCAACCCAGCAAUUGCAGUCGAUACUGGCAGGCUUGAGUUCGGGAGAGGGAAGUGGAAUUCCUGGUGUAGCGGUGGAAUGCGCAGAUAUCAGGAAGAACACCGGUGGCGAAGGCGGCUUCCUGGACCGAUACUGACGCUGAGGUGCGAAAGCUAGGGGAGCGAACGGG
rnacentral:rRNA from 1 species